rnacentral:rRNA from 14 species
CACUGGUCUAGUGAUUCCGCGCCGACAAUGUAACGGGGCUCAAGCACGCCACCGAAGUUGUGGCAUUGAUAUUAUUGGUAGGCCUUCGUGGUCCAGCCGUAUUGAUGGGUAGGAGAGCGUCGUGUGGCCAGCGAAGCGGCGGUGUGAACCAGCCGUGGAGGCUACACGAGUGAGAAUGCAGGCAUGAGUAGCGAAUGACGGGUGAGAAACCCGUCCGCCGGAUGACUAAGGGUUCCAGGGUCAAGCUAAUCUGCCCUGGGUAAGUCGGGACCUAAGGCGAGGCCGACAGGCGUAGUCGAUGGACAACGGGUUGAUAUUCCCGUACCGGCGAAGAACCG